AAUUUUUACGGUGACUUUUUUUGCCGCAAAUAAUUCUGCUGAAAAAACUACUAAAAUCACAAACUUAUAGUACUUGCGGCAAUGAUGAACCGCUACAAAUAGUUUGAAGAUAACCCCCAUUAUUUCUUUCUUCCCUAGCCGAUACUCUCUCUCUCUCUCUCUCUCUCUCUCUCUCCCGAGUGUGACAGAGAGCCAGCUCCUUGAUUAGGGUUCAUCGAGUGAACAGUUAAAUCCUAUAUGGAUUUGGAUGAGAACCAGCAACUCAAACAGCCUUAUUAUUGGAUAAUGUAUGAGCAUUCUAUGAACCAAAAGAGGCUGAGGCAGGAGCAAUUGACAGGGGAAUACCAUAAGAUUGCAUGCAGAUGUAGACUUUUUAGAGAACAUUCUCCUAUCAAUUUCUUUGUUCUAUGUAAUUAAUAUGUUAUCUUAGUUUCUUAUUUGUUGUAAUUAAGAUUAAUAUGUGAACUUAAGUUGGUGAAAUUGUUUCCCCAGUUGUUAUGUUGUAACGACCAAAUUCUUUGUCUAGAACAUAUUUGUUCUAUAAAGAUAUAAUUUGUUUAAACUUUCUGCUUGUGUAAUUGUGUUUUUUGGUUGAAAUAUAAUGAUUGAUUGUGUGUUUUUUGUGUA